rnacentral:rRNA from 1 species
UGACGGUACCUGACUAAGAAGCUCCGGCUAAAUACGUGCCAGCAGCCGCGGUAAUACGUAUGGAGCAAGCGUUAUCCGGAUUUACUGGGUGUAAAGGGUGUGUAGGCGGGACUGCAAGUCAGAUGUGAAAGCACGAGGCUCAACUUCGUGUCUGCAUUUGAAACUGUAGUUCUUGAGUGUUGGAGAGGCUAACGGAACUCCUAGUGUAGCGGUGAAAUGCGUAGAUAUUAGGAAGAACACCAGUGGCGAAGGCGGUUAGCUGGACAAUAACUGACGCUGAGGCGCGAAAGCGUGGGUAGCAAACAGGAUUAGAUACCCUG